GUUGAGCUGAGGCUGAAGGAUGAGAAAGGCCAGGAAGGACUUACUUGGGAAAAUGUUUGUGGUGAUAUGUAUGAGUGCUGCAGGUGAAACAAAAAGGAAGCCAGUGUAGUUGGAUCAGCACCAAAUAACUCCCCAGGCACAUGACUAUCUGCUAAGAACUGCGUUCGAGAUAAUUCAGCUUGAACCUGUGCCUCCUACUCUUGCACCAUAUCUCAACCUUGGGACCCACUUCUGCCUGCACGGAAGACUUAAAGUUCACUUGCAAUACCUCAAAUCAGCUAUGCAUCCACAGCCCCAGAGCUAAGUGAUAACACCAGGUAUGACUUUUUCUCUCGAGUGGUUCCGCCUGACUCCUACCAAGCCCAAGCCAUGGUGGACAUCGUGACAGCACUGGGAUGGAAUUAUGUUUCGACACUGGCUUCUGAGGGGAACUAUGGUGAGAGCGGUGUGGAGGCCUUCACCCAGAUCUCGAGGGAGAUUGAAAAUGUAUGAAAGGCCUGGUCUUGUUGGACAGAUUGGGCUAAUUGAUUUAAUUGGACAACUGUUCACACCUGCUAGGUGGAAAGCAUACCACAGACAUCUUUCAUUAGCACUGUAGCUGCACUGUCUAGAAGAUAAUCUGAGAGUGCUUGUUGAAUGAAGGAAUA
rnacentral:lncRNA from 10 species